rnacentral:rRNA from 1 species
GCUACCAUGCAGUCGAGCGAGACCUUCGGGUCUAGCGGCGGACGGGUGAGUAACGCGUGGGAACGUGCCCUUCUCUACGGAAUAGCCCCGGGAAACUGGGAGUAAUACCGUAUACGCCCUUUGGGGGAAAGAUUUAUCGGAGAAGGAUCGGCCCGCGUUGGAUUAGGUAGUUGGUGGGGUAAUGGCCCACCAAGCCGACGAUCCAUAGCUGGUUUGAGAGGAUGAUCAGCCACACUGGGACUGAGACACGGCCCAGACUCCUACGGGAGGCAGCAGUGGGGAAUCUUAGACAAUGGGGGCAACCCUGAUCUAGCCAUGCCGCGUGAGUGAUGAAGGCCUUAGGGUUGUAAAGCUCUUUCAGCUGGGAAGAUAAUGACGGUACCAGCAGAAGAAGCCCCGGCUAACUCCGUGCCAGCAGCCG